CGGACGGGUGAGUAACACGUGGAUAACCUACCUAUAAGACUGGGAUAACUUCGGGAAACCGGAGCUAAUACCGGAUAAUAUAUUGAACCGCAUGGUUCAAUAGUGAAAGACGGUUUUGCUGUCACUUAUAGAUGGAUCCGCGCCGCAUUAGCUAGUUGGUAAGGUAACGGCUUACCAAGGCAGCGAUGCGUAGCCGACCUGAGAGGGUGAUCGGCCACACUGGAACUGAGACACGGUCCAGACUCCUACGGGAGGCAGCAGCCC
rnacentral:rRNA from 1 species